rnacentral:lncRNA from 1 species
UUGUUUAUAUAUAUAUAUAUAAAGAGGAAGCACUCUCCUACCCUUGCACCGCUCUUCGCUCGCUCGCUCGCUCUCCCUCUCUCUCUCUCCCCCUCUCUCUCUCUCAUCCUUGCUGCAAUUGAGUAUUCCGACGGCGGCCGACCAAAGAUACGGUUGGAUUUUCCGUCCGAAAGUCGGCUUCCGACAGCAUCCACGGCGGUUGGAUUGUCUGGAUUGCACGGAUUCCGGCAUCCUCAGCCUCAUUUUUUUCACUCCAAAUUNNN